UGGGGAAUAUUGCACAAUGGGCGCAAGCCUGAUGCAGCCAUGCCGCGUGUAUGAAGAAGGCCUUCGGGUUGUAAAGUACUUUCAGCGGGGAGGAAGGUGUUGAGGUUAAUAACCUCAGCAAUUGACGUUACCCGCAGAAGAAGCACCGGCUAACUCCGUGCCAGCAGCCGCGGUAAUACGGAGGGUGCAAGCGUUAAUCGGAAUUACUGGGCGUAAAGCGCACGCAGGCGGUGUGUCAAGUCGGAUGUGAAAUCCCCGGGCUCAACCUGGGAACUGCAUCCGAAACUGGCAGGCUUGAGUCUUGUAGAGGGGGGUAGAAUUCCAGGUGUAGCGGUGAAAUGCGUAGAGAUCUGGAGGAAUACCGGUGGCGAAGGCGGCCCCCUGGACAAAGACUGACGCUCAGGUGCGAAAGCGUGGGGAGCAAACA
rnacentral:rRNA from 1 species